UAGUAGGUCUGGCCUGCCCAGUGAUAAAAUUUAACGGCCGCGGUAUAUUGACCGUGCAAAGGUAGCAUAAUCAUUAGUCUUUUAAUAGAAGGCUGGAAUGAAAGGUUUAACGAGAAAUUAACUGUCUCAAUUACAAACUUGAAUUUAUCUUUUGAGUCAAAAGACUUAAAUAUCAUUGUGGGACGAGAAGACCCUAUAGAGCUUAACAAUCUUUUUUUUAUAUUUAUUUAGUUAAAUUAUUUAUAUAUAUAUAUUGAAAAAAUUGUUUUGUUGGGGUGACAAUAAAUAUAUAUUUAACUUUUAUCAUAAUAUAAACAUUAAUUUAUGAUUUUUGGAUCCAAAAAUUUUGAUCAAUAGAUUAAGUUACCUUAGGGAUAACAGCGUAAUCUUCCCUCAGAGUUCAUAUUUACGGGAAGGCUUGCGACCUCG
rnacentral:rRNA from 1 species